GACGAACGCUGGCGGCGUGCUUAACACAUGCAAGUCGAACGGAAAGGCCCUGCUUGCAGGGUACUCGAGUGGCGAACGGGUGAGUAACACGUGGGUGAUCUGCCCUGCACUUCGGGAUAAGCCUGGGCAACUGGGUCUAAUACCGGCUAGGAGCCAUUUUUAGUGUGAUGGUUGGAAAGUUUUGUCGGUGUAGGAUGAGCUCGCGGCCUAUCAGCUUGUUGGUGGGGUAAUGGCCUACCAAGGCGGCGUCGGGUAGCCGGCCUGCGAGGGUGGACGGCCACACUGGGACUUAGAUACGGCCCAGACUCCUACGGGAGGGAGCAGGGGGGAAUAUUGCACAAGGGGCGCAAGCCUGAUGCAGCGACGCCGCGGGGGGGAUGACGGCCUUCGGGUUGUAAACUCCUUUCGCUAGGGACGAAGCUUUUUGUGACGGUACCUAGAUAAGAAGCACCGGCUAACUACGUG
rnacentral:rRNA from 1 species